GAUGGUGAAAAAAACAGUAAGGGAUAGGAGGUAGGUACAAGUGAAGGGAGAGAGUUUAAAGGAAAAAAGGGAGGGUAGUUUAAAGAGUUGAAUUGUGGUUUGAGGGUAAAGAUGGAGGAGAAAAAAAGUAAAGAGUGUAAGGGUAGGUGAGGAUUUGGACAGAAAGAAAGAUAGACGUGGAAAGAGAUGAGAUUUGGAACUUGUAGUUGUCUAGGAAGAACUCAAACCAAGUUGGAAAAAGAAGAACAGUAAUAUCACAAAGGAUAUGGAAACUCUCAGGUAGAGAGAGAAGCUCUCAAGAAGAGAGAGAACGAAUUGGUAAAAUUACAUGCACUAAUGUUAAUAUUAAAUAGUAUAGAAUAAUAAUAAGAUAAUUGAAAAGAUAAAGGAAAGCUCAUCCUUUCGGUGUGGUUUCUUCUGAUCAGUUUUUCAUAUCGCAAGCAAAGCCAUCAGGCUCUGGUCAAACCAAAGAAGUAAGCCUUCACAGCAUGGGUUGCCUCGGCUCUCUUAAAAGCAUGGAAAAUGAGUGUGGGAAAAAGCUUUGGAAAGCUCCAUGGCACAGAGGCUCCAUGAUCCGGCCACCAUGACUCCGGCUAGAGGUCAAGCAGAUAUAGGCUUCGACCACUGAGUCUCGCUCCGAGGAUCUGGCAGGCUCCAGCGGUGGCUAUGCAGAGGUCGGAUCUGCUGGUGACGGCAGUCGACGUCAGCGAUGAUCUUGGUACGGAGGGGGAAGGCGGCGGCGUGCAGGAGGUCAGCAGGGUGUUUGUUAAAAUUUACAUGCCAUGAGCUCGAAGAAGUUGCCGAUCAUGGAAGAGCGACCAGGGCCGCCUCGAAGCCAACUGAGCAGUGGGGUUCGAGAGAGAUCGGGUGAGAUUGUGAGGUUCUGAGCUUCAUGGAAAGUAUAGAAAAUUGGAGAGCAUGUGGUGGGAGGCCGGCCUUGGGGGUUAGGCGAGAAGGGCCUUGGCCAUGGGCCUCUAAUUAAGGGGGCCCAAAUUUUUUUAUAUAAUAUUGUCAAACUUUAAAAAAAAAAAAAAAAAUUUUAAAAAAGAAAAAAAGUCAGCGAUGUAAUUGAAUGAGGAAGGCUAUUCCUCUUCCCGUCCAGAAGCUCUUCGUUUCCUACGAUACGCAGCCAGCAAGAGCAACAACCCCUCUCCUAGUUAUUUCUCCAUGGAACUCUAUUUAAUCCACCGAUCUCUUAAUAAUCCACCAUCAUAUUUUUCUAUGUUUUCCCCAUCUCCCUUCAAUUCAUAUCCUUUAUUUUCAAUUUCUCUCAUCCCUCUUUUCUCGUAUCAUAUUGUAACCCUAAGUUUCAAUCUCACACUAAAAAGCUCACAAAUUGUUUUUGAGAUUGAUGGUGACCAAGAGGGGAGGAGCAUGAGAAAUUGAAAAGAUGUACAUGAAUCAGGUGGAGGUACGGAGUGGAGUUUCUCAAAUUUUAGUUUCAACACAGUUAGCCUGAAUAAAGCUCUGCAAGAUUUAGGCUUUUUUAUAUAAGCUUUAACCAGGUUUAUGUCUUAAAAAAUAUGUAUGUUGUUACUUAUUGUAGUUUCUUUGUCCAAUUGUGCUACCAUUUGUUACUUUUCUUAUGUUGUAUGAUUCUUUUUGAAGACCACAAAGAGGAUUUUGCUAAACUCAUGUGAUGAAGCUUGAAGCCAGAAGCCAAUCUUAAGGGAAAGGAUUUAGUACUUUGAACAAAAACUUAGUUUUAAUGUAUCUUGACAUGUUCCCAUUAUUGGUUACUGGAAUGUUGGUUGGUAAAUUUGUAAUUUCCUUCAUGAUAUUAAAUAUUUAAUCAGAAUUUUUUUUUACGGAGA